rnacentral:rRNA from 1 species
CUACGGGAGGCAGCAGUGGGGAAUAUUGCACAAUGGGGGCAACCCUGAUGGAGCAACGCCGCGUGCAGGAUGAAUGCCUUCGGGUUGUAAACUGCUUUUAUAUGUGACGAAUAUGACGGUAGCAUAUGAAUAAGGAUCGGCUAACUCCGUGCCAGCAGCCGCGGUCAUACGGAGGAUCCAAGCGUUAUCCAGAAUUACUGGGCGUAAAGAGUUGCGUAGGUGGCACUGUGUGUCAGUAGUGAAAGCGUGUGGCUCAACCAUAUACACAUUACUGAAACUGCAGAGCUAGAGGACGAGAGAGGUAACUGGAAUUCCAAGUGUAGGAGUGAAAUCCGUAGAUAUUUGGGGGAACACCGAUGGCGUAGGCAGGUUACUGGCUCGUUCCUGACACUAAGGCACGAAAGCGUGGGGAGCAAACGGGAUUAGAAACCCGAGUAGUCC